rnacentral:rRNA from 1 species
UGGGGAAUAUUGCACAAUGGGGGAAACCCUGAUGCAGCGACGCCGCGUGAGCGAAGAAGUAUCUCGGUAUGUAAAGCUCUAUCAGCAGGGAAGAAAAUGACGGUACCUGACUAAGAAGCCCCGGCUAACUACGUGCCAGCAGCCGCGGUAAUACGUAGGGGGCAAGCGUUAUCCGGAUUUACUGGGUGUAAAGGGAGCGCAGGCGGCGCGGUAAGUCUGAUGUGAAAGCCCGGGGCUCAACCCCGGGACUGCAUUGGAAACUGUCGUGCUGGAGUGUCGGAGGGGCAAGUGGAAUUCCUAGUG